rnacentral:rRNA from 1 species
GACGAACGCUGGCGGCGUGCUUAACACAUGCAAGUCGAACGGAAAGGCCCUGCUUUUGUGGGGUGCUCGAGUGGCGAACGGGUGAGUAACACGUGAGUAACCUGCCCUUGACUUUGGGAUAACUUCAGGAAACUGGGGCUAAACCCGAUAAGAAGUUCCGGUGGAAUGGGGGGGGUUGGAAGGUUUCGGCGGUUGGGGAUGGACUCGCGGCUUAUCAGCUUGUUGGUGGGGUAGUGGCUUACCAAGGCUUUGACGGGUAGCCGGCCUGAGAGGGUGACCGGCCACAUUGGGACUGAGAUACGGCCCAGACUCCUACGGGAGGCAGCAGUGGGGAAUAUUGCACAAUGGGCGGAAGCCUGAUGCAGCAACGCCGCGUGCGGGAUGACGGCCUUCGGGUUGUAAACCGCUUUCGCCUGUGACGAAGCGUGAGUGACGGUAAUGGGUAAAGAAGCACCGGCUAACUACGUG